rnacentral:rRNA from 1 species
GACGAACGCUGGCGGCGUGCUUAACACAUGCAAGUCGAACGAAGAGCGAUGGCAGCUUGCUUCUAUCCAUCUUAGUGGCGAACGGGUGAGUAACGCGUAAUCAACCUGCCCUUCUGAGGGGGCCAACAGUUGGAAACGACUGCUACUACCGCAUACGACCCGACCUCGGCAUCGAGGAUGGAUGAAAGGUGGUCUCUAUUUAUAAGCUAUCACUGAAGGAGGGGAUUGCGUCUGAUUCGCUAGUUGGAGGGGUAACGGCCCACCAAGGCGAUGAUCAGUAGUCGGUCUGAGAUGAGGAGCGGCCACAUUGGGAGUGAGACACGGCCCAGACUCCUACGGGAGGCAGCAGUGGUGAAUCUUCCGCAAUGGACGAAAGACUGACGGAGCAACGCCGCAUGAGUGAUGACGGCCUUCGGGUUGUAAAGCUCGGUUAAUCGGGACGAAAGGUCUUCUUGCGAAUAGUUAGAAGAAUUGACGGUACCGGAAUAGAAAGCCACGGCUAACUACGUG